GGGAAUUUAGCUCAGUGCCACAGCACCUGCCUGGCAAGCAUGAGGUCCUGAGUUCAAUACCCAGUACCCCCC
rnacentral:tRNA from 1 species